AUUGAACGCUGGCGGCAGGCCUAACACAUGCAAGUCGAACGAGUGGCGGACGGGUGAGUAAUGUCUGGGACACUGCCCGAUGGAGGGGGGGAACUCCUGGAAACGGUAGCUAAUACCGCAUACCAUCGGAUUUGCACAGAUGGGAUUAGCUAGGAGGUGGGGUAACGGCUCACCUAGGAGACGAGCCCUAGCUGGUCUGAGAGGAUGACCAGCCACACUGGAACUGAGACACGGGCCAGACUCCUACGGGAGGCAGCAGUGGGGAAUAUUGCACAAUGGGCGCAAGCCUGAUGCAGCCAUGCCGCGUGUAUGAAGAAGGCCUUCGGGUUGUAAAGUACUUUCAGCGAGGAGGCGUUACUCGCAGAAGAAGCACCGGCUAACUCCGUGCCAGCAGCCGCGGUAAUUC
rnacentral:rRNA from 1 species